rnacentral:lncRNA from 1 species
GCCCUCUGACCCCGCAGCGUCGUGGCUAGAGUAGGGUCUGGAGAGAGCUCCCACUGUGGCGAGUCCUGUCGUUGGAUUCCCGCGGCGCCCCGUAAGGCUCCGCCCCGGCGGUGCUACCAAACCCUGUUCGAUUUUAGAAUCGUACAUUCCCAGAGGGAAUCCUAGACCCCUCAUUUUACAGUUGAGGAAACAGGCCCAAGUAGCAUGACUUGUUCGCGCCGCUAGUCGAAGGAGCAGCAGCCCCGAUCCCUUGACUCUGGGGCACUGCUUUCCCUUUAGCUCAUUUUUGGAGGAAAUGGGUGCGCCCUUGCUCGACCUUUGGUGAUUGCCGCCACAGGCCUUCCCGCCGGCUAACUCAGCGUGCCCAAGUCCCGUGACUUAGUGCCAGGACGGUGCUGUGACCCGUUAUCCCCUGUCGGGUUUUACCUCCCCCCGGGAGAGCUCAGCCCUGGAUCCCGGCGGGCGGCGGAGCCUCUCUGGAGCCCGGACGGGACAGCCCACCAGGGUCUGCUUCUGUGAGGGGCCGAGGCGUCAUUCCGCGAAGGAAAAGAAGCAUAAGCUGCAAUAAAAAUUUGGUUUCAAGAUAACAAAGUCAGUCCCCAAAAAUCAGUAUUGAGAGUCACUGACAUUAAAUGAUGAAGAUACGAGGAUGGUGUGGGGACCUUUACUCUUCGAAGAUGAGCUAUACAUGCCCCUGAAAAGGCUGUCUGAAGACAGGGGAAGGCUGGAGAUGGCAACUUUGGCCUCUGCCAAGUACUCGUGCUAUUUUCUGUAUGUGAUACUAUCUGUUUUGUAACUCAGAGGCAACACCACAUACCUAGCAUAAGGCUUGAACUCCCUUUGGGGUUAUCAAUUACUUACAUAGCCUUCCUCUAAGGGAAGGCUUGCAAGUGGUUCAUAUUCGACCCUUCCAUGUGAUAAGCAUUCAUGUGGGCUUCACAAUGUAACAGAGGUACACAGAGAUUCUUGUAAACAGAAAAUUUUAUAAAACUGUUAACUGAUCUCACUUUGAAGAAGUCUUACUGACUAGAUGUCAUUUAUCAGAGUAGACAGGCUUAAAAUGCAUUGCUUGUACUAGACUGUUGUAAUGCAUUUUUUUGUUUUUGCAUUGGUUUUUAAUUCAUUUAAUUGGUUUACACUCAUUUUUUUUUUUACAUUCCAUUUUUGCAUUUGUAUGCCAGUUAAAAAUUAUGAAAUGGCACAUUGUGGGAUUUUGUUUAGCUAAAUUCUAGAAAAAUUGAAAGAUACCUUUUAUUCGACUUAAGCCUGAGGUUAUUCAGCACGGUGAUCUCUGCAUUUUUGAAAGGUUGUCUCGUCGUUUAAUAAACGUAAAUAACUUAAGCACAUUGGAAGAGCUAUUAAAUGAGAGCAGGAGAUUAAAAAGACAUGAUUUCUUACUUUAUCCACCUGACAGGAUAGCUUGCAUUGGUGAUUAACCUUGCAUUGUUAAAUUCAUUUCCUAAAUAUUUAGGUAAGUAGUUGGUUUGAUCAUUAUUUGUAAAGUAUUAGUAGUUGCAUGUUGAAUUAUCAUGUUAAGAUUUUUAGUUUGUUGUUCAUGUGAUAUGAAAGAUAACAAUUCCUAAAACUGAAUGCAUGCAUGGCUUAUUCAGCUCAGGUCACAUACAAAGAGAAAUGUGACGCUGCAAUAAACAUAGCAGAGCUAUCUGGGUUUGAAGCAAAAAGGCUAUGACGUUAGGUAUAUGCACUUUACAUUGUAUGUAUCUUUUUAGUUCUAGUGAACUCAUCUGGAAUCAUGUUACAGAAAAUGAUUCUCCAGGUCCAAACACAUUUAAGUUUAAUGACUGGGACUACUCUAACAAUUGCGGCUAUCUCAUUUUGUCUCAUUGGUUCAUUAGCAUAGCACCCAUUUAAGAACAACUACUUCUAAACACAGUAAUAUUUCAGAGGCUAUAAAAUAAUAGAGAAAGAAAACUUAAAAAAUCCUUUGUUUGCAGCCAAGAAAAUGUGAGGAUCAGAUUUGUACUUGUUUUGAACAAUUGGAAACUGUCACAAUUGUUUUUAAGAUGUAAUAAAUGUAUAUAAAAUAUGGGAUUCUAUAGUA